rnacentral:rRNA from 1 species
CCUACGGGCGGCAGCAGUGAGGAAUAUUGGUCAAUGGCCGAGAGCCUGAACCAGCCAAGUCGCGUGAGGGAUGACUGCCCUACGGGUUGUAAACUUCUUUUGUCGGGGAGUAAAGUGAGUCACGUGUGACUUUUUGUGUGUACUUGAUGAAUAAGCAUCGGCUAACUCCGUGCCAGCAGCCGCGGUAAUACGGAGGAUGCGAGCGUUAUCCGGAUUUAUUGGGUUUAAAGGGUGCGGAGAUGGGAUGUUAAGUCAGUUGGGAAAUUUUGGGGCUCAACCGUGAAAUUGCAGUUGAUACUGGCAGCCUUGAGUACAGGUGAGGUAGGCGGAAUGCGUGGUGUAGCGGUGAAAUGCAUAGAUAGCACGAAGAACUCCGAUUGCGAAGGCAGCAUAC